rnacentral:lncRNA from 1 species
GUUCAAGGGGCGACUGUAUUAUAACACUAUCGCAUUCCUCCUCUGGCUCUCUUGGGUGUACAAUACACAUGUACACUCAUGCACACACAUGCACACACUCAUUCAGUCAAUCAUCAGGAAUAAUAAAUAGUUCAAGCACAUAGUUUACAGUUUCAUCUUCAUUCUAAGUGAAAACUUUAAUUGAACAAAAUGUUUACUACUUUAAGAACAUUCUUAGUAAAAUAUUUUAUAAUGAGCUUUCGAAACAUAAAUAGCAAGCACAUGUGUAAUGUGUGAAACUUUCAAUGUAAAAAGUCAGUGUAAUAAAGCAAAUAUCAAAACUAGUAAAGACGGGCUGGUUGGUUAAUUGGUUGGUUAGUUGGCUGAUUGGUUGGUUGGUUUGGUUUUGGGUUGGUUUGAUGAACGAAUAGGGAAAAAAGAAAGAAAAUUAAUAAGCACAUGUGUGAGAGGAAGGCAAAGAAGAAUGGAAAAGAAAAAACAUGAAAAGAUGAGUUAAAAAAUAAAGAAAACAGGACUUCCAACUGAUAACUGUGAAUGGAUCUGUGAAAUGGGUAGGAGGGAUUUGAGGAUAUGCACUUUACAGUUUUUAUUAUAAAACAUUUCAAACAUAUACAAAUAUAGAAGAAAUUAUAUCUAUCAUUGCCUUUGAUUAUUUGUUACCCACUGUAUAUUAGUGUGAAGCAAGUCUGAUAAGUCAUUUAAAUGAGCUGAAUUUUCAAGUUUUAAGGAUUAUAUAGCACUGAUGUAACUUUUAAAGAAACACUAUUAGUAGCUGAUGAAAUAUAAUGAAAAAGGCAUUAUUCUCCCCCAGAAAAAUAAUGCAACAGGAGAACAGGCUGUCUUGUUUCUUAUAUUGUUUAUCUAAAUUCCACAUUUUAAUAAAAAUAAACUAUUUUCCUUCUUUAAUAAGGUCACCAGAAUGCUAAAUCAGAAAAUGCCAUUAAAUAAAUAUUAAUCCUAAUUUCAACCAAGGCUCUUAGGUUGUGCAUAUGUUGGACAACAUGAGCUGGGCCACAGUUUAAGUAAACUUACAGAGAGUGUCAUGGUCAUGUCUAGGGCAACAAUUAAUAGUUCAGUCAGCCUUGAAGGAAGACUGACCUCCAGCGGUACAAGGACUCUCUUAGUGGGCCUGCUUAUGUCAUUGAUUUUAACAAUGACUUGAACAAAGACAAGGAGAACACUAAGUAUUGAUAGACAUUCAACAAAAUGCUGCACAAGUAAAAUGAAAUUAAAUUCAUAAUAUUUUAGGUUAGAGAAGCUAAACUUCUAAAAAAAAAAAAAAAAAAAAAAGACUGUGUAGCUGCAUAGCAUGCCACAAUUUCUGUUCUCCAAAUCCAACAUGGUUCCAUAUCACCACUCCCAUGGUGUGUGAAGCAGUGCACUGUUGUAACUGCAAAGCUAUUUUGUUGCUCAUUUCCCAACCACCCCUUAAUGUCAGGGUUUACAUCAUCAGUCAAGAAGUAUGUACACAACUCGGAAGCCUUUGCAGACAGCUAGGUCCCCCUGGAUGGAGGCGUAGAGUAAGCGCAGCAGAAAGAGCAUGGGGACAUGUCACUCCUACAGUGCUAGAACAGAUGAGAGGAGAAGCUAGUUUGGGAAAGGAGGCUCUGCUCAGGUAUACAUUAGUGAGAAUGUGGAUGGCCUCCACGAGAGCAUUAGGAGUAUACUCUAGUACACCCUCAAUUGCUUUACAGCCAUCCUGUGAAAGAGCUGAUGUAUCAUCAUCCUGACCUUGCAAAUGCUGGGGUUUCUAACAGCUAUGUUCUAAUGACAGUAAUGAAGAAUUGAAAAUAUCAUUGAUUCAGUGAUUAAUUCUGAGACAAUCUUGCACUUACUCAAGUCAUAACUUGAGUAGCUCAUUCUAGAAAGUGACAGACUCAGCAGACAGAGGCUGUAUUCCUUGGUGUGUGAUCAUGGUUGGCAAUCUACUUAGACACCAGAUCUCUCUUCCCUGGGAUCCUGAAUAUUGGAUAGACCUUUCUGGGCCUUAAACUAAUAUUUAUAUUCUAACCAACGUACCAAUAAGCAUAUGGGUUCUAUCUGUAAUUGUUUUAUUUACAAACAUUACAAGCUCCUUUCCACACACAUGGCAUACCAUAUGUAUAUUCUUUUCCCCCUGACUAGGGGCUCAAGAUCUGGAUCGCAUCCGACUCUCCACCUACAGAACAGCAUGCAAGCUGAGAUUUGUGCAGAAGAAAUGCAAUUGUAAGUGUGCCUUUUGUUUGUGCUAAUUACCUGCAUGAGUACUAUCAUUUACACUUCUUAACUGGGCUUAUUCAAACUAGGUUUUCUUAUGAGGUUUGAUAAACAUAUGCUUACACAAGAAUAAAGGGGGAACUGUGGUCACGAAUGGUAGAGAAACAGUUGCUAAGCAACUCUGAGGGCUGAUUUAGUCUUAACUACAGAAGUCUUAGAAUGGAUGAGCCUCUUCAGAUCUAUAUCUAUAUGUAUCUCUCGCUCUAGAUAUAGAUAUAUAGUUUAGAUGUAUAGAUAUAUUGAUAUAAAUAGAUACAUAGAUGAUAGAUAGAUAUAUAGAUAGAUAGAUAGAUAGAUAGAUAGAUGAAAGAAUAGAUAUAAAUAUAUUUGAAUAUAUGUAUAUAUAGGUAUAGAUAGAAGAUUGAUAGAUAAUAGGUAAAUAAUAAAUACAAAUGUUAUAUGUAUGAAUAUAGAUAUAUGAUAGACAGGUAGAUAAAUGGUUGAGAAAUCUAGAAGCAAGAGAAAUUUCUGAAUUUUAUGUGGAGUGUUUUAUCUCUUCUCUACCUGGGGCAUUUUAAAUGCUAUCCAAGUACUUUGAAAAUCAUUAUACAUAAAAUGAUCUCUGCAUGUCCACAUAUAACUAUCAGUGUUUGCAAACAUUGAGAAAAUAUUAAAGCGUCUUUCUAAAGCUAUAAAAUCAGCCCAAAUAAUCAAUGUGUUGAUUACAUUUGUGGGCAAUAAUGGCAGAAGAGACCUAGCUUUACAAACCCCAGGAAGCUAGCACUUGGGAGGCAGUGGCAGGUGGAUUUCUGAGUUCAAGGCCAGCCUGGUCUACAGAGUGAGUUCCAGGACAACCAUAGCGACACAGAGAAACCCAGUUCUCAAAAACC